UGAAUGAGUUAAUACAGAAUUUCAAACUUUGAAAGUGAUUGGAUUAACGCUGAUAGAAUUAUUUUCUCUAUCAAAUAUAAACGUGUAAGGAGGUUUAAUGCUUUUAAUUUGUUGUUGUUCCUUGUGGUAUUUUUUUAGCAAUGAAGGGCAAAGUUUGUACGGAGCACAUGUGCUCCAUGGACACAUGUCACACACAUUAUAUAUAUUAGAAAAUUCCUUCAAAGAAUAAAAUAAAGAUGUUAAAAUCCUCGGUCCUAAAGAAUAGAAUUUCAGUGUCCCACAUCCACCCACACACCCUCAUAUAAGAUGAUAAAAAGAAGAAUAUUGGGUUAGCAUUAUCAAGAGUAUCGAAUAAUAUAAAUUGUGUCGUUGCUAAAAAAAAAGAAAAAAAUAUAUUCAAGUGUGGUCUCUAUAAAAAGGUGCCGAAACAUAGGAUUAUUUAGUACAAAACCAGUCGGAGUACAUCGAAGCACUUGCAAGUUAAGGAGAAAAUAAUCAAAGACGGCCAACAUUCAACAAUCUAGCAAAGCAAAGCUUCAUAUAGUGCUCAACUAUGGAAAUGUUCCUAUUCAGGUUUAUGGAGACAUAACUGGUUCACGGUACACAGAUGAUCGAGUUGAGUUUUUUUAUCAUGCAGCUGGUGACGAUGUUAUGGUAACACCUGUGGAAGACAUGCCCUUAAAUAUGUCGGAGGUGAAUAUACCUGAAUAUGUGGAUCAUCUUUUAAUUGAUGCACGUUUGUGGCAUGGUAGUGAACAAAUUGUAGGUGGUAGUUAUAGCUUUGGAAUUGGAGAACCUGGUCAAAGUGAUCAGCAUACCAUAAGCGGAGAUUAUCCUGGCUCUAUCGACGUGAACGUACUUUGGGAGUGAAUUUGAUGCAUCAAGUUAUGGUGCAGUGUUACUAAUAGUACUAAAUAAAACUUGCAAUCACUACUGCAACGUCUUGUAUGUGUUCAUUUACUAUAUGUUCUGCUUUUGUACCGCUGGUUUUGAUAAUCAACGAGGGAUCUUAAUAUAAUAUAAUAUGUACUUUUAUGUCGUACUUGAUUGGAUAUGCAUGGUUUGGUAUGUGUGUUUGUUA